rnacentral:lncRNA from 1 species
UAAAUCGGCAAUCAACAAUGCAUGCAGGGUUGCCGUUUGGUAGAUUUGAACAGGAGCCAAAAUUCAAGCUAAAGGUAGCCAAAGUAGCC